rnacentral:lncRNA from 1 species
UCUCUUCGCCUCUGCUGGUCUCAAAGUGGAUAGUUUUGUGGUGAGUUCUUCUAAUCUUGCAUCUACAAGUUUUUUAUGCAACUGUAUGGAUUGUGUUCUGUUCAAUUUUAGAUGUUUGAAGCUUUUAAUUUUUUUUGGGUUCAAUUUUAAAUGGGUUGUUGCUUUCAGAGUUUUUGUUUGAUGAUAGAGAUGGGGUUUUUGGGGAGAAACUUUUAAUCCGUGAGUUUUUUUAGUUAGGUUGUUUAAGAGUUACAUUCAUGGGAAUUCUUUUGUUCUUCUUUUUUCCUGCAUCUGGAAAAUGCCACAUGAUGUGAGUUUAUAAUUAAAUAAGAAUAUCAAAAUGGGUUUUCUGUGCAAAUUUUCUUUUUCUGAUUUUAUAGAACCGAAGAGGAUGUUAACAAUAACAUUAUUGUAUGAUAUGUGAUCUAAAGUUCUUUGGUGAGUUAUUUGGUUUUCUUGCCACAUGGGAUUUUAAUAUAUAUUUUUUUCGUGGUUUAUGCGUGGUUCUCUGAUGUGUUUUGAUUUUUUAUUUCAAGAAAAGUUAACGAUACGAUCAAACGUUUACUGGUAAAUUUUCUAUUUUUCUGAUUGUGUGUGAUUUAAUUUUUUUAAAGCUUUGGGUGUACUUUUCUGAACUGCUUUGAUUUUUAGUUGCAGCAAAUGUUGUUGCUCGAAUUUUCCAGUUUUUAUCUGCAGCUUUGCAAGCUCUUUAUCAACAAGGUAUAUAAUUUUUAUUCUUUUUCCUGAAUCUUUUGUUGGAUGGAAUCGUUUUUUAGUUUUUGGUGAGUUCGUCUAAUCUCGCAUCUGGUACUGUGUUUUUUCCGACUGUAGAGAUUGUAUUUUGUUGAAUUUUAAAUGGUAGAAGCUUCUUGGGUUCAAUUUAAAUGGGUUGUUAUCAACUAUUGAAUUGCUUUCGAAGCUAUUUGGCUACUCCCUUAACGCCCUUUUUCCUUUUCUUUUCAACUUCUUCGAUUUGCAGCCCCCUUCUUUUUUUUUCCUUUUCCAGAUUUAGCUUUUUUCCCCUAUAUUGUAUCUUUUGGCUAAUUUUGUGGGUCUUGGUCAGUGCUGUGGGUAUUGGUGAAUUUCUAGCAUGUUUAUGCAUGCAGUUUUUGUUAUAAUGUAUGGAUUGUGUUUUGUUCAAUUUUAAAUGUCAGAAGCUUUUAAUUUUUUUUGGGUUCAAUUUUAAAUGGGUUGUUGUCAACCAUUGAAUUUCUUUUGGAGUAUUCAUUUGACAAGAGAGAUGGGGGGGGGUUCUUUUGGGUGAAACUUUUGAUCCGUGAGAUUUUUAGUUAGGUUGUGUUGUGGGUUUUCGCAAAUUUCUAUCGUGUUUAUGCAUGCAUUUUUUGGUUAUAGAUUUGGAAGAACAUAGCAUUACAGGGUGUUGAGGGUUUGCUGGCGG